CGGGCGCGGAGAGGCCUGGGCUCCGCAUCCCUCCUCGGACUGGCCCCUGGUCUCCGGCGGCCGAGCCAUGGCCUGGACGGCGGCGGCGGCGAGCGGCGGGGCCCGCGGUACGCUCUCGGCGCACACGCUCCUGUUCGACCUCCCGCCGGCGCUGCUGGGCGAGCUGUGCGCGGUCCUGGACAGCUGCGACGGCGCGCUGGGCUGGCGCGGCCUCGCGGAGCGACUUUCAAACAGCUGGCUGGAUGUUCGUCACAUCGAAAAAUAUGUUGACCAAGGUAAAAGUGGAACAAGAGAACUACUCUGGUCCUGGGCACAGAAAAACAAGACCAUCGGUGACUUGUUACAGAUCCUCCAGGAGAUGGGGCAUCAUCGAGCUAUCCAUUUAAUUGUGAAUCAUGGAGCACCCUUGAAGAGUCAGAGUCAUCAUGGAGAUAGAUUUCCAAACAUGUUACCCAAGGAAAUAGCCAAUGUCACAGUGGAUAAUGUUCUUAUUCCUGAACAUAAUGAAAAAGGAAUAUUGUUGAAAUCCUCCGUCAGCUUUCAAAACAUCAGAGAGGGAACCAAAAAUUUCCACAAAGACUUCCUAAUUGGAGAAGGGGAGAUUUUUGAGGUAUACAGAGCGGAGAUCCAAAACCGAACAUAUGCCAUUAAAUUAUUUAAACAGGAGAAAAAAAUGCUAUGUAAGAAACAAUGGAAGCAGUUUUUAUCUGAGCUUGAAGUUUUACUACUGUUCCAUCAUCCAAACAUACUGGAGUUGACUGCGUAUUUUACAGAGAGUGAGAAGUUCUGCCUUGUUUAUCCAUAUAUGAGAAAUGGAUCACUUUUUGACAGAUUGCAGUGUGUAGGUAACACAGCCCCACUGUCUUGGCACAUUCGGAUCAGUGUUUUAAUAGGAACCUCCAGAGCCAUUCAGUAUUUGCACAACACGGAGCCGUGCUCGGUCAUCUGUGGCAGUGUAUCAAGUGUGAACAUACUUUUGGAUGAUCGGUUUGAACCCAAACUGACGGACUUUGGCAUGGCGCACUUCCGACCCCACCCGGAACAUCAGAGCUCUACCAUAAGCAUGGCUAGCAGCAGCACUAAACAUCUGUGGUAUAUGCCUGAAGAGUAUAUCAGACAGGGCAAACUUUCCAUUAAAACGGACGUCUAUAGCUUUGGAAUUGUAAUCAUGGAAGUUCUGACAGGUUGUAAAGUGGUGUUAGAUGAUCCAAAGCAUAUCCAGCUGAGGGAUCUCCUUAUGGAGUUGAUGGAGAAGAGAGGACUCGAUUCAUGCCUUUCGUUUCUAGAUAAGAAAGUGCAUCCCUGUCCUCGGAAUUUUUCUGCCAAGCUAUUCUCUUUGGCGGGCCAGUGUGCUACCACGCGGGCAAAGUUAAGGCCAUCAAUGGAUGAAGUCCUAACUACUCUUGAAAGUACUCAAGCCUGCUUAUAUUUUGCUGAGGACCCUCCCACUUCACUAAAGUCCUUCAGGUGCCCUUCUCCUCUAUUCUUGGAUAACGUACCAAGUAUUCCAGUGGAAGAUGAUGAAAACCAGAAUAAUCAUUCACACCCUCAUGAUCAAGGUUUGAGAAAAGAUGGAGUGACUCCGAAAGUUCCAUUUGAAUGCAGUCAGUCUGAGGUUACAUUUCUGGGCUUUCACAGAAAGACAGGGGGUGAGAGAAAAGAGGAUGCAUGCAACACGCCCAGUUCUUCUUGUAAAGAAAGUUGGUCUGCAAAGCAUUCAGCUCUAUCGCAGGACUCAGGGGCCUGUGGUGCAGAUCUGGACCCUUCUGCAGAAGCUCCAGACCCUUCUUACAGGAGCAGGCCAGUGGAGACUAGCUGUUCCUCUGAAUCUUCCUGGAACGAAUGUGAGCAGUACAAAAAGGAAUCGAUUUCACCAGAAGAUAAAGAAGAAAGCAAGUAUUGCUAAGGCCUCUGAGUACAGCAUCGUUUGUCCUUGUUUCAAUGGCCAUUUGAGUGACCCAAGUAGCAUCCCUGCAUCACAGAUCUCAUCAAUCACAGUGAAACUACACCUCUACUUUACCUCAGCCACUAUUUCCAAGGCCACACCCUCUGGACUCCAUUCUUACCUGAAGCUGCUACACAUCAGAAAUCACAAUAUGCUAUCCUGGACUUUAUAAAGACAUCCUGUUAUCUGAUCUCCCCAUUUUUUUUUUCCUGGCCUGUCAAUGACCAUCCUUUUCCUCCCCAUCUACUCCAUGGUUUCUUUGCAGAGGUUGGGCCAUGGGUUCAUCUGUAUCAGUAUUUGUCCUUACGGUAAACGAGAACCCCUGCUAGUUAUUUCAAACAGAUGGAAUUUAAUAUUGGCAGUUGGUUAUCAAAGACUUGGAAAGGCCAGAAGAGGAAAAAAAAAAAAAAAAAAGAAAAGGAAAAUGUGUAGCUAUCCAGAGAUUAAGAACUACAGGAAGCCAUUUUCACUGUUGUGCAUGAAGGAGAAAAAAAGAGAAGAGGUGUAACUAAGAGCCAUGACCACUGUUCUGCUGAGGCCACAGAGAGCUUGCUCCUGAUGCGUGCAAUGCUGAUGCAUUUCCAUGGAGGAAAGCGGGAACGUGGACGAACCACCACCUGUGCAGCUCCUAUGUUACUGCCAGGGGCCCAAUAAGAAGCAGAGAAAGAAAAGGCUCCUCUAGUUCUUCCGGGUUCUAUAAUGAGGAGUCAGCUGUCAAGGGCAUCCAGGAGAUGCAGUUUUCUUUAAACUACAAAGGAAAGCACAGAAGGGCAAGAACAGACAAAUCCUACCCUGUGGCUAUUCAGCAUUUAUUCUCGCCUUUCUACCUUCUGUUUCAAUUUCCGGUAACAAUAAUAUCAUGCAAAUAUUCGUCAAAUAAUCGAAGGUGCUGUCACUCUUUCAAAAGACGUACAGGCUCUCAUCAGUCAUUAUAUCUGUCUCCAGGUGAUUUUAAUAUAUCUUCUGCCUAAAUUUUCUAAAAAUAGAGGUAAUCAUCUCCAACAAUUCUUAUACAAUAUAGGAGAAAAGAGAGGGAAAGUAAGUAAGUGGUGAAUAGACGCAAAUACACACAAAACAAAGGAAGCCUGCGCGGCUGCUAUUGUCUUUGUUUCUGUGAUUUGUCACCAGGAUGCAAUUUCACUCUCCUUCCAUGCUCCCUUGGCCUCGGCCGGCACUUUGGGUCUCUCGGUUUCCUACCCUGAUGGUGUGCGCCAAACCUUCACUGCUAAAGGGUGUGAGCCCUCCCUCAGUGGUCUUUAUUGGUGCUGGAAUUGACAUUAACUUUCAUCGCUGGAGAUGGAACUGUUGGCUUGCAUGAUUGGACAGUUUGAUGAAAUUACUUUCUCUAUCCACAAAAUUGUUGAUAAAAAGUAUUCUACAGGAUAAAGUCAACUUCAGAACCAUGCAGCACUUCACCAAGUAUCCUCCUUCAGGUUAAUGUCUUUCCAGUAAUUAAAACAUCUUUAGGAAAAAAUCCAGUCAACUCUGACUUUAUCUCACUUUUGCAACAUGUUUCUCUAUCUUGACUACAAGAUAUGAUCCAAGAUCCUUUAAAUAGCAUAAAAUGACCUUCAUAAGCUGGUCCCAAACGAUCUUUCUAGUAUUAAAUCCCAUCACUACCUCUUUCUUGUUCCUUUCCAUUGAUUUUGUAUUUUUUGUUCUAGUCCCAGUAAAUUUGUUAUGAUUCCUAAAGCAUACCAUGUCCCUUCUCAUUUCCAUGCCUUAGCCCUUAGCACAUGCUGUUCCAACUAUCUGGAAUGCUUGCCUCUCCUCACCCCACCUUCAGCUAGGUAUAUCCUUAUACACCAUUCAUGAGCUAUCAUAAAUAUUACUUCCUCCAUGAAUCCUUCUCAAACUUCCCUGAUAUAAUCAUCUCCUCUGUUCUCUCUCAGUAAUUUAGAUUUAUAAACUUUUGCAUUUUGCUUAUUGUUUGUAAUCAUUAUCAUAUUGUUUAUGUCUCUUUUCGGAGUUAAGACUGUGACCUCCUACAGGGUAUGAAAUUAGAUACUCACCGAUGUCUAUUAAACAAAUGAAACACUUAACAAAAUAUUUUUUCCAUUACUUUUUGGAGUUUAAAGAAAGCAAUUCACACCCAAUAGGAGUGACUGAUACUCCAGACUGGCUUCCACCAGAGUGGCACUGACCUUGGUGAAUAUUGGGGAAUCCAUCUUAGCCCUGCCAUCUCAGAGGCUAGAAUUCUUCAGUCUCCUUGGAAUGGACUUAUCUCUCAAUGGCAGAUCUGAAGUGAUCAAGUUCAUAGAGGUUGAUAAAAAUCAGCAUACUGAUUUUCUACUUUAUAAGAAAAGCCUAACUGUCCAGAGAAUUGAAUUCUCACGUCAACAUAUUAGUGUAUUAUCUCCUUAUAGGCAAGCUAUAUAUGAAGCAGUAUAAUAUGGUACAGGGGGAUUGAUUGAUUUUAAGUAUUUCUUGGUGAAGGAAGCUUGAGACCAUCUCAUGCACUAGGGAAACAGUGCCUUCAAGGACACUAUGAUGUUUGAGGUUGCCUAGCCAAGGCUGCCACUCCCUGGGCAGGGCCUGGGGGAUCACCUUCAGCUUGGCAGCUCGCCAUCCAUUUCUUGUGUAGCUACGGUCAACCAACAUGUCUUUGCCCAAACAGAACCUAAAGAAAUGUCACUGAAUGCCUGGUGACUAAGUUACAUUUGUGUUUGAGUUCCCAUUCUUCCCAUUUAUAUAUUCAUGGAUAUUCUCCUGGUUUGUUCCUGUUCAUAUUUACUGUGUGUGGAUCUAACUAAUUUAACUUCAAGCACAACUGUAUUGUUGACUCAUUGUCAACUCUAAUGACAAGACCUAAAAGGGUUGAGUAAUGAAUCAAGGUCUUGCAGUCUGUCAAUGGACAAGGCAAAAAUUCAACCUUGAUCUUACUGCUUUAAUCUGGUAUGCUUUUCACUGGUAUGCUUCUCUAAGUGGAAAUACCUAAUAAUUGUACAAGCAGAUGAGUUCUUAACCUUUUCUUCCUGAUUAAAGGUAUUUUUCUUUAAAA